ensembl:lncRNA
UGGUUCUUCACCAUGAUAUGCAUCAGUUUCUCUUUCUACAACAAGAGAGACUUGAGAAUGGAUUUUGCUGUGGCAUUGGUGGACUUCCCCCCUGAAACCAUGGCCAGGUUCAAUCUGACUCCUUGCCACUGCCAUUUUGAGUGUAAAAGCACUUCUUGUGAGAACAUAAAUUGGAUCCCCACAGCUACAGGAAAGACACGAGAACCCACUGUGACUGUACAGCCCUGCUCUGCCAUUUUCAUCUCCUACCAAUGUGUCUCCUGAAAAGUACUGCUGCUGCGGGGAGGACAACUGUGGUUCAGACAGAAACAGGAGGAAGACAAAAGGGUGAGGUUUGACAUGAAGAAAUAUUCUCCGGAAGGGGGGAUCCCAGGGAUGUCUGCAUGCAAAAAGAUACAAGCCACUGUCUGCAUGAG